rnacentral:lncRNA from 1 species
CUUGUUUCAGAUGAGACUUUGGAUUUUGGACUUUGGGCUUAUUUCUCCCAGAAGUAAAACUCAGAUGACUAGGACAAGCUGUGGUGAGAGAAGCCAUUGGCUGCCAUCUAGACUGUGUUGAAAGCACACAGUCACUUGUUAAAGGCAGUAAGUGUUCACGGCUGACCUUCGCUUGGACAGGGAGGCAUUGUAGCAUAAAGGAAGAAUAUUAGACAUUGAAUUCAGAGAAAUAUUGGCUUUACCACUAAAAAACAAUGUGACUCUGGGGCACCAGAUUUGGGCACCACCACAUGUGAUGUGGGGCGGAUUGGCCAAUAGAAGCCAAGUGAAGUCAGACGCUCAAGAUGUAACUAAAGAGACAUACCUAUUUGCGGCCUACUUCCUAUUCUCCAAGUGCAUUUUAAUUCCCCUGACUGCAUGAUUUUGUUCAGCAUUUAUGAAUAUCAUCUGUCUAAUCUGGAGAAACACGUCUUAUAGUUGGCCACUCUCAUGGUUCUUGUUGCCUUCUGUUGUUUGGAGGAAUCUAAGGAUUUAUGGAAGUUAUGUUGGUAUAUCAGAAGCUUGUUGGUAUAUAUUUGAGUAGAAGGGCUUCAAUGAAGUCAACUUAUACCACUAAGUGGAUUGUUGAUUCUUCGAUGGAUGAGGCUGUAUAAGGGGAUCAACAUUAAUCAAUGUUGCUGACAGGCUGGACAUUCAGCAGCAACCUUGACAAGAGAAUGAAGGCCAAAUUGAGUUUCCUUGAGCAACUCAUUUAACGUUAAGAAUCAAGAUGGUGCCCAAGCUCAGAUGACAUCCUUUCUAACCCAUUUGGAAGGCUCCUCUCAUAGGAGGUGUGAAAGAAAAGAGAAUGGAAAGGAACAGGCUCUUCUCUUGAAGAAAAGCCCUCAGUCCAUACAGCCAGACUUUGUCUACAUAUGCCUUUCUAUGGGAUGCUGAGAGACCAAGGGCUUCUGACAUAGACAUGUGAGAAAUACUGGCUUUAAGUAUACUAUACUCAGUGUCAAAAGCUUUCAGGAUGCAAGAAAUUCCUGAAUUUGAGUCUCCAAAAUUUUAAACAAGGAAAGGAAGUAAAAAUUAUCUCUUUUUCGAUGUAUGGCCCUAUAGUUGGCCAAAAAUGAUUGCUUCUGUUGUUAGAUAUUCAUGUAUAUUUAAGAUUAAAGAAGGUGAUAUUGAUGUGCAAAUAUGAGAGUAAAUUGACAGACAGAUAACCUAAAAAAGUACAGUAAAAUAAAGUUAAGAGUUGUGAUGAAUACCUAAAGGUCCAUUGCCAGAUGAAUGUGAAGACGGAAUGUGAUUUAUAUAUAUAGUGGAAUAUUAUUCAAUUAAAAAGAAAAUGCUAACACUUGCUAAUAUAUAUAAACCUUCAAGACAUUAUGCUAAGUGAAAGAAGCCAGAUACCAAAGGACAAAUAUUGCACUGUUCCACAUAUAUGAAGUGAACAUCACAUAUUGCUGAAGUUCUCAUCAUCAGAAAGAGGCAGAGCUAAGAUUUAAAUCCAGACAUGCCUGGUUCUGAAUUCAGUUGUCUUCCUACACCCAGGAGCUUAUUACAUGCAUUGUGCUAGUCUUCCUGGAAAUCAGGCAAACUCAGUCCACUGCACCUCAUCUCCUUAUGUAAUAACCUGGAGAGCGGUGAGAGCCAUCUGCUUCAAGAGCGACAUAUUUGAGUCCAUAAGGUAAUAGGUUGGCAGAGAACAGAAGGAUUAUGGCAUUGCCAUUUGGCAUUCUUGACUUACUCUGCAUUUAUAAAAUCGAAAUACAUAGUCCAUCAUGUUCUCACAGAGCCUACCAUUAUCAGUCAUUCUGAAAUAAACAUGGUUAGGGACAUCAUAUUCAAAAUAAGUGAUCCUUGUUUUCGGGAAUGAUGUCUGGCAGGAGGAGUUUUUAAAUCCUGCUUUCUGAAGCACUAGCUUACAAAUGACUUUGUGAAGUGUAUUUUGAUUCUGGGGCCCAAGAAGGAGAAAAACAAGUAAGGGAGAAAAACAUAGGCUGGAUCUUAAGAUCACAAGAUAACAGAUGGAUUAAAGGGUAGAAGCCAGAGCAGAGGUUCCAAAACAAGAUUGAUCAUUCAAAUUCAUCUGAAGAACUUUAAAUAUAUGUAUUUACCUGAACCCAGCUUCAGGAAUGAGGCUCAGACAUCUGUGUAUUUAAAAUCUCCUGUGGUUAUUCUGAUAAUUAGCCUCAGUUUUGAGUCAUCUAACAAAGAAAAAGCAAAACAUAUGUCAAUCAGUUUAUCUUACUGUAAUUAAACUUCAGUGGGAAACAUGAGGUGACCCCAAAGAACUGGUUAAGUGUGGCUUAAGAAUUAGUUAAGCAAAUGUACCAAAAGACAAUUUUAAAAAACCAAAUAAAAAGAAAUUUUAGUUUAUUCUCAGGGGCUUUCACAGGAGUCUAUAAAAAUCUCAAAAACAUCCAGGAAGCUCCCAUCGAAUAAUUUGGCUACCUGAAGUGCUGAAUAAAAGGAGCUCUCCCAAAAGAAGCUGUGAAUUCUCUAUCAGGCCCAUGUCCACUCUUCUAGUCAUAGCCUUACUUCUUAAAGAAAGAGAGAAGCUCUAAUCCAAAUCCAAACAUAGGACAUAUGGCGAAGAUUAUUCUGAGAGACACAGUCCCAGAUUCUCCUCUGCUAUACAGGUGUGACAAAAAAGGAGCAAGAACAAAGACUCUAACAUAAUCCUUAGAUGUUUAUAAUAGAAAAAAGAAUGGAAAGAAAUAAACUUUAGCAUUUACACAGGUUGAGCUGACCUAAUCUGAAAAUCCAAAAUCCAAACUGCUAAAAAACUGAUUGAGUUCUGAAGCUUUGAGUGUCAAAAUGGCUCCACAAGUAGAAAGCUCCACAUCUGACCUCAUGUGAUAGGUCACGGUCAAAAUGCAAUCAAAAUUUUGCUUCAUGCCCAACAUUAUUUAAAAUAUUGUAUAAAAUUACCUUUGGCUAUAUAUUAAUAUGUAAGGUAUAUAUAAAACAUUAGUGAUUUUUGGUUUAGUCUUGGAUCCUAUCCCCAUAAUAUCUCAAUAUAUGUAUGCAAAUAUUCCAACCUCCCUGCGCCCAAAAAAUCCAAAAUCCUAAGCACUUCCAAAAUCUAACAGUAAAACAGGCUGAGUAUCCCAAGCAUUUUGGAUAACAGAUGUUCAACCUGUAUCACUUGGGGUCCAUUCAGGGGAACAAACCCCACGAGGUAUUUCAACAGAGAUAAUUUCAUAUAGGGAAUUUGUUAAUCAGAUGAUGGGGAACUGAAAAGGAAAAUGAGAACAUUAGAAGAGAUCAUUACAAAAAGCUGCUACCUCCCCUCAGGCUGGAGGAAUGAAAGGAAGCUGAGAUCAGGAAGCUCAUUGGGAAGCUGAUCAAAACUUACAAGGUUCAUAGAGGGGCCCAAAGAUUUAGGACUCAGAAUUCCAAGGAGGGUGUUACCUACCUCCAAGGAGGCUGCUACUGAAAUCUCAGGAGCUUGGAGGGAGGGUCUCACACAAUGGGGGCCUAACCUCUGAAGUGAGGAGCUACCAGCUAGUGCUGGUACCUCAGAAGUUGGGAAGAGGUCCUGUGAUGUUGAGAUGCAGACACAUAAUGAGUGGGCUCUGCAGCUGGUGGUCGUGAAGGGGCACAAUGACUCUGUUAGUGGGAAUGGCCCGAUGAUCUGAAAGCUGUAAUUAACAGCUGCUGCCAGGGUAAAAGGCCAAAGUGGGGUGAUCUGAUGGGAAAAAAUAAACAAGCAGAAAUGAACAAGUUCCUUCUCCCCUUCUCCUGCCAUUUACUCUUCCCCUAGUUCUUCCUAUUGAUGGAAAUUAAUAGUAAGCCUUCUGACAAAGGAGACAUGUUGUCUUCAGAACCAUCAUCACAAAGUAGAGGCUAGGAAAGUAGAUGUGGAACCUAAUACCGGGUGAAUCAUUCAUCGCACAGUUUCAAAGGUGGCAACAGAAUUAGCCAAAAGCAAGUAUAGGAUGAAAAUAACAAAGGGAAGGGCAGAAAUAAAAUAAGACAUAAACAUUUGAUAGAGAGGACCAACAAAACAAAAUUUUAAUUCAGUGGGAAAA